rnacentral:tRNA from 1 species
UAAGAGUUAGUUAAAUAAUAAUAUAAACUUGUCAUGUUUAAGUUGUAGUGUCAUUCUUAA